CUUAUAACCUCAAAAAUUGUCUGGGUUCUUUUAUUUUUCCGCCAUCGCCGCUCUUCCACCUCCAUUCAAAUUCCUCACCGCAACAAACCCUUAACACCCUUUUCGUAUUUUUCACUAGUAACAAUGAGGAAAGGAACAAAGCGAAAGGCUAACGAAGUAGUAGGAAAAGGCAAGGCGAAAGUGGAGGACGAAGCGCCAGCCGCAGCCACCACCUCAGUAGAAGAAGGGGCUAACAAGAAUGAGCUUGGAGAAACCCAAUUAGCUGCUGAGAAAAACGAAUCUAAGAAAAACGAACCCAAGAAAAAGAAAAACGACAAAGUUGUUGUUAAGCGUCAAGCUAAACGAGCUAGGAUUGUUAAGCCUGAGCCUGAGCCUGAGUACUUCCCUGAUAAGCGUAGUUUGGAAGAUCUGUGGCAAGAGGUUUUUCCUGUUGGCACAGAGUGGGAUCAGAUUGACAUGGUUUAUCAAUACAAAUGGAAUUUCUCAAAUCUUGAAGAUGCAUUUGAAGAAGGUGGAGAAUUGCAUGGACAGAAAGUCUAUCUUUUUGGUUGUACAGAACCACAAUUGCUUUUUUUCCAGGGACAAUCAAAAGUCACGUGUAUACCUGUUGUGGUUGCUGUUGUAUCUCCUUUUCCACCUUCUGAUAAGAUUGG
rnacentral:misc_RNA from 1 species